rnacentral:lncRNA from 1 species
AACGGAUGUGUGAAUAUGCAUGAUUUAAACUGGGGGCACAGUCAAGGGAAGUUUCCUGAGUUACCUGGCAUAAGCAUCCUAUCCAUCGCAAGUUCCUACGAAAACAAUCAUGUGUCAAGUGAGCAACCCAUCCGAUUACUUCAGAACCUCAACUGUGUGGGUUGUCCAAAUAUUAGGAAGGUUUUCAUUCCAUCAACAGCACACUGUUCCCAUUUAUUAUUUUUAAACCUUUCACUGUCGGCUAAUUUGAAGGAAGUUGAUGUAGCUUGUCUCAAUCUAUGCUGGCUUAAUCUAAGGUAUUGUUCGCCCCUCAAAAGAAUGUGGAUUGGUUUCUGACCUCGAAACAAAUUAUAAUGUUUUGACUUAUCUCUUCAGCAACUGUUCCUCAUUGGAAGUUUUGAAGCUAGAGUGUCCGAGAUUGACCAAUCUAUUCCUUCAGGUUAUUAUUCUUAUCUGCCAAUUUAAAUUUAUCCACACACAUCAUAAUUGUUGUUUCUUGCAAACAUAUCACACUUAGGAAAUGGUUCCCAGUUCCAACCUAAUAGAGAUUGAGACUUGCAUGGUUAAUGAUUUAGUGAGACUCAACGAGUGAAUUUUACCAAAUAGGAGUGUCUGUGUGUGUUGGAAAGAAUGCGUGAAGAUCGAAUUGCUAGCAUUGCCUUCACUGCAUUACAAUUUAGAAUUCACAACUGUCGGAAAGAAUGUGUUAAGAUUUUAUUGCUAGCAUUGCUUUUUUCUGCAUUACAUUUUAUAGCGCUGUCAUUGGCUAUCAUUAUCUUUUUAGAAAAUUAUACGGUAGUGUUUUUGUCCCAAUCUUUUGGCUGGUUUAUCCCUCUCCUUUUUAAGAAUGGGCUGCAUACAUUUUUCUUAAAAAAAUGUUAGGGUAUGGGGUUGACCUCUGGUCCUUCACCUAAAAUAAAUGUGACAUUUGAUAUUCCUCAAAUCACUUGAGGAAUAUUUUUUUUUAAAAUUGUAAUGACUUAACUUCAGUCAUUCUUGCAACCCAUCCUUUGAUUCAUUGUUGUGUUAAUAGUUAUUUGCUUUCUAAUAUGUUUGUUCGCGUUUGGACAAUUUGGUUUUUUUAGGCGUGCAAUAUUGAUGAGGAGGCUGUUGAAGCUGCUAUAUCAAAAUGUACUAUGUUGGAGACUCUUGAUGUUCGCUUCUGUCCUAAGGUGAGAGCAAAUGCAUAUAAUAUUUUUGAAAUGUUGAUUUCGGCAAAUGAACCUUUAUUUUGCAUAUGAUUGUUGCAUGGGAUGUUCUUCAAUCAUUUAUGGGAUAUUUUAUGGUGCUUUGCAGAUAAGCUCAGCGAGUAUGGGAAAAUUUCGUGCAGCAUGUUCUGGUUUGAAGCGUAUAUACAGCAGCUUGUCAACUUCAUCAGCAUGAUUUAGAAUCUUUGAUGUUUUGUGGUGCUUGUUCACUCGGAGAGAAGGCACACUUGGCAAUAAAUCGGGUUAUUCCUAAUGUAUUGUAAAUUGUUAUCUUUUAUAUUGUUGUUUGUUUGGCAUAUAGAAAUGAGGUUAUCUUCAUGCAUUGCCACAAUAAGUUUUUGAUGUUUUUUACUUGUUGUAAAUUUUAUAUUUCAAUUUGUUGCUGCAUAUUGUAUUCUGAAAUGUUCUGAAGAAUAGGUGUUUGUUUGAUCCUUUUCAUAUACAUUUUAUGCUGUAAUAUUGACAUUUACAUUUUGAAGAAUAGAUGCUUGUUUGAACUUACAUUUUGCGAUGGUUGGACGAAUUGCAUUUGUAGUUUGAUACUGUCUGUUUCUUUACAUGAUUGCAUAUUUACAAUUAUAUAUUUUGAUGAAAUUUUAAUAUAUGCACAACAUCAAAUGGAACAUUCGACCUGCCAGUUAUUCCCUCAACUCUAAAGUUAGCUGACGUUAAAAUAUUAACCCAGCCAACAUUUUCAAAUCCACAUUCAUCUUUGAAUAAUGCCUUUAGCGUUCUACCUUAUCAUAGACAUGUCUAUCUGCACUUCUAUUGAGGUGGAAUUUUAUAAUGUUUGGAAAUAUUUAGUGUUUGAAAUGGUAUUAUCACUACAGAGAAGAAAUUAAUGUAUGAUUCCAUUUCAUUUACCUGACUACCAAAUGAAGAUAAAAUGUACUCCUUUCCUUAAUUUUCAGUAAAUUAUAUUAUUAAUCUGAAAUUCAAAUUUAAGUCAGUGCUCUCAUGGUCCUAAAUAAAGUCCUUUGCAUUACUUUAUAAUAAUACAACAAAAUUAAACCAAAUGUGUAAACUCAAGCUUUGAUUUAAAGGAUUAUUAUCGUACAACUGAUUUAAUUCUUUAGGAUCCUAUAUGUAAAACAAGAAACCUCAGUAGGAAAUGAAGCAGAAGAACAGAGGAUGGCAUUUUGAUGGAAUUGAAAGAGAGAAACUGCUGAUAGGUUUUCUGAGGAAUACCACUAACCGCUCUUUUAAUUCGCCAUUAAUUAUUUAUUUCUUCUUUUUAUAAAUGUCCCUCCAACAAGCCGGCCUUAGUUUUCUCUCUCUAGGUUUUCUUUUUCAGUGGUGGUUUUGGGUUAAUUCUUGAUCUGAAAUCACCCCCUUUUCAUCUUUCUCUCUCAAUUUCAAUCUAAAUAAGUGAUUUUCACAUAGAUCUAAGUUUUUUCUUUGUGAUUUCAUCAUCUAAGUGUGGUGGUUUGUUGUUCGUCGUCUUGUGCAGCGUUGUUUGAUUUCCCGUCUUCUUGCGGUGUUCUUUGAUUUAUAUUUGAAAGAUCGAUUAUUCAAUCAAAGAUUUGGGUGUCAACGUUGCAGAUCCAGAGGUCAUGUAUAUUUCGGUCACUAUAAUUUUAACAUAUAUUUUUGUAGGCAUUAUGCCGUUAUAUGCUAUUAACUUGGAUGUUGUGAGUUUGUUCGUUGAUUAUCCUUUAUGUUUUUAGCGGUGUUUAAUGAUGUAAUCUCUCGAUUUGAAUGAAUGAAUAUCAUUUUAUUUUUUUCAAAAAAAGAAAAGAAGAGCAUCGAAAUGUAACUUCUGAGAGAACUGUGAGUAACUUCCAUAAACAUAUAAUAAACGGUCCUUAAAUUAUUUUUAAUGCAAGUCCAUGAAAUAUUGCUUUCUUUUCUAUUUUAAAAGUAAUUAAGGGACUAACAUGUUAAAUUAAGUAUAAUUUAUGGACUAUUUGUUGCGGUAUUGUCUAAUGUGCACAAAUAAAUUACUAUUGCAUCAUGUACAAUUUUUUUUUUUUUGGGUACAAAUGUACAAGUUUUUUUUACUAUUAGAACAAUAAGUCUUAUCACAUCUCAUUUGAUCCAAUAAUGAAACUUGUUGAUAUACUCAUGAAAACAAAUUUAUGCAUGAUGUAAAACUUGUUUCAUUUAUGCACCAUACACUUGACCAUUUAUUUGUCGUAUAUUUAUAUGAAUUCUGCUCUUCCCCCUGCACUUUUCGCUCGCGCCCUGCAGUCUUGCCAAAAAUGCCCAUGCGUGAGUUAACUCACGCUGGUUUUCUUUCAAUAUUUACUUUGGCUACUUUUACUACUUUCACGCUUUCUCCAACCUCAGCAACAUAAUUCAAAAGUUUCAAUUCCAAACAAGACAUUUUUAUAUGGUUUCAGUUUCAACACCAUCAACUUCACCUAUUGGUAUGAAUGUUAGAAACAAUUCAGGAUUUAAAUGAAAAACUUGGUUCUUGCUCAAAUGGGAGAGAAACAAUUCUUGCUCAAAUGAAGACUUAGAAACAACUUCACCUAUUUUUAUAUAGUUUUGUGGCUCAAAUGGGAGAGAAACAAUUGUUUUUCCCAAAUUUGCUAUUGAUUUGUCCCGAAGUUGCAGACUAGCAAAAUUAAAACCUUCAUCUUAAAGUUAAUUUAAAUGGGAUGCAUAGGAUUAUGCGAGCUAGAGAAUUUCUCGUCUCUAGGUUAAGAAAAAGAAUAAUGCUAGCAACACUCUUUUCAACUCUCUCUUUUAUUGGUUUGAAUCAUUGUGGGUCUACACUUUGGAAAUUGAACCUACACAAAGUGGUGUGACAUAUAUUGAUUUAUUUAAUAGAAGAGUGAGUGCUAGAGAGAGUGUUGAAAAGUGAGUGUUGCUAGCAUUCUUCAAAAAAUAUUUCUCUCAUUUCUUUUAGCCAAAUUUGGUUCUUUUUGCAGUACACUAUUUUAUGUGCUACUACUUUCUCAGUUUUGGUUUUUAAUGAAGACUUGGUUCUUGCUCCAGUCUUUAUCUCCACACAUAUUUUGAAUGUCUAUUAUAUUGCUUUUGUUUUAUCGUAAUCACAUGUAAUUUUUUUAAUCGUGGAAUUAUUGAUAUUUCAAUGAUGAAUAUUCACUAGUCCAAGUUUUUCCUUUUGAUGUAGGAGUGGUUCUAAUUAGUUCAACCUUAGUGUUUACAAAUGUAAUGUCAUAUGUGUGUACGAUAUUAAAUAUCAAAAGAAUGAUUGAAAGAUGAAGUCUGAUAUUAGAUCUAUAAAUGUUAAACAAGAAAAGUAAUACAUUAAAAUGAUUUUGGUUCAAUUGCGAUUUGAAAAGAUAAUUGCUCUAAAUAGAUUUUACAAAUAUUUCUACCAAGAAAAUAUGAAGUUUAUUAGCUUAAAUACACAUUAUUGUACUUUCAAAGAAGACACUAAUUAGCUUAAAAAACAUUAGUUUAUCUUACAUUUAAAAUUCAACACUCUUAGCUUUCGGAAGAUUGAUCUUGUUUAUAACUAAUAUUUUAGUUAAUCGCAAAAAUGAGAGAAAAUUGGUAAUCAAUAAAGAGUUUAUAUGGUAGCAACAUUUUUUAUUACGUGAUAGAACCGUGCAUUUGAUGUGACUAUCAUUUUUUAAGCAAGUUGGUUUGGUAUCUUUGUAGAGGAAGUGAAUAAGUAUCCUACGAUGAAUAAAAAUCUAGUCUUCAAUUUUUUUUUUUAAAGGAGUCUUCAAAUGUUAUAAAUAAACUUUUACACAAGUGUACAAAUUAUAGAGGAUGAUUGAUCACUGAAAAUUAAUAGGAUUAACAUGUUCAACUAUAUUCUUCACAAACAACAGAAAAAUAAGUUCAUGAAUAUCUUACAACACACAAUGAGCAUGCAUGCAAGGUUUCUUUUUUUUAACAAACAAAAAUGGAUUAUAUUAAAGUGUUAUAUAGCAGUCCUUUUAGUAUAAGGUGUAUCGAAAAGACUACUAAAAAAAACAAGCAGUUCACAUAAAAUACAACAAGUGGUUAGUCAAUGCCUAAACACGACAAUGGACUCGAUGACUCCGCAUGCAAGGUUCUUACAUUACAAAGAUGCUUUACACUUCAAAACAAGAAAGAGAAGAAUAAGAAUGAAAACAAUACCACCAGAAGAACCACCAACUCUAUGAAUCCAAUUACGAUCAAACCUUGUGAAGCUCUUAUCCAAAAAAGCUGAUAAAGAUAUGACUAAAACCAAUACAAAAAGUAACAUUGGUAACCAUAAAGUAACACUAAUUGGUUGUUCAUCAUCUUCCAACUCACUCUCUGAUCUGUGAUCUAUGUAUAGAGGAGAAGCCACAGCUAGAACUACUAAGCUUAUGGCUGCUACUCUCUCAUAAGAUGAAAAUUUGUGACCCCUCCUACUAGCUUCAGGUUCCAUUCAGAAGAUUGAUUUAGAUGAAAAUUGUGUUGUUAAUUAAAAUGUAUGUAUAUAUGAUAUGAUAUGAUGGAAUUGCAACACAAAAAUGUUGAUAUGGUAAGUGGAAUAUUGCUUUUCAAAGUAUGCACUAACUAAAGAGCAUCGGAUUCUCACUAACUACUAUAUUCUCAUUCAUGUACUAAUGUGGGACCCGAAUAAAAAUGAAUAUCAAUGUGCGCAAUCUUUUUUAACCAUUUUCUUUUUUGAAAGAUAGAGAACAAUCAACAAAGAACUAGAAACUCCAGAACCAUCAGCAACUAACAAGUGAUUAAUCUAAGCUGGGGCUAGCAAGCUCGUAGAAAAUCAAGAAGAAUAAGCUAUCACAAAUCGUUAUUGGCCAAAGCAUAAGCGAAAUUCCAACGGCACUUGACCUUGUGAAAGGGGCUAUCCCACGAUAUGAUAAACCAAUGUUGGAAUCUCAACUAUGAGAAGUACUCUCAUUAAAGUCCGACACACCUCAAAUAGGAUUACAUCUAGCGAAUGAAACCUACGGAAAAAGGAAACAUCAACGCAAUGAUUUGCUUCACAAUAAUAAUGACAAAUUUUUACUUCUCAAUCCAUAUGUAAAAGCCUUUGAAUCUAUAACACCAACCAAAUAUUUCAAAUCCUUUUUAACUUUGAUCAUACUCCCUCCGUCCUAAAUUAUAAGCCAAAAAAAAAAAUCACACUUAUUAAGAAAAGUAAAACAUAAGAAUUUGAAGUAUAGUUUUGUGUUUUUUUUUGAAAAAGUUUUAUAGGAAUAUGUAAAAACAAUUUUUAUUGGCUAUAUAUUGGUUAUGGAAAAAAUGAAAGAGAGAGAAAAUUGAAUGAAAUUUGCAUUUAAUUUUAUGAGAAUAAACAAAAGUUUUACUUGGAAAAGAGAUUUAAAAAAAAAAAACAAGAUUAAAUAGGAUAAAAAUUUGUCUUUUUUGCUUAUAUUAUGGGACAGAGGGAGUAAUUGUUAUGCUCACAACAAAUCUGUUAGGUCAUGAGGGGAGCUCGGAGGACCGUCCACAUCGAGGCUAGAACAACCACACUAGUGAGAGAGACUCCACAUUCUUACCUAAAACCUUAAGGCAAUGGGUUUAUGAGUCCUCUUACUUAUAAGGUGUACAACCUUUACUUUUUUAUCCGAUGUGUGACAUAUAACUGACUCUUGCACACAACAAAAUCGUCCUUAAAUUACUCUGUUCUUUCUUAGCUAUAACACCUAGUCAACAUCCAAGUACGUACGAGAAAUCCUACCCACUAGAAAACAAGUGAAAGACACAAAUGUGGGACCAUAAAGUGUGCUGGCUUGAACUUAACCCAAAACCUACUUAAUUCUAAUUAACCACCCUAAUUACUACUUCGGUUCGAAAUUAUAAAUCGUUUUAAAAUAUCCGUUAAAUAUUAAUAUUACUUUUCCAAUUAUACUAUUAACUAUUUAUUACUUUAUCUUCUUUCAAUUCUUUUAUUUAUCUUUCUCAUAUCAUUAAUGAAGGAUAAUUUUGUAAAAUUACUUAUAAUUUUGUUUUCUUAUACAAAAUUAAUUACAUUUAUUAAUUUGCGUAAAAUAUCCAAAACAACUAAUAAUUUUGGACGGAGGAAGUACCUCACAAAUCAAGUAAAUGACCAAUAAAUUGAGCUAAAUGAAGCCGAUAACUCUUAUUUCUGAGUUAUGAGUGGUUAAUGAUCUCCCAAUUACUAAAUGAAUGAUAUACAAGAGAUGUGACUCAUAUACUUAAUACGUCAAUUUUUUUUAAAUUUUUUUUUUUAUGUUAUGUGUUGUUAAAAUCUCGUGGGAAACAAGUUGCUUAAUAAUAGUGGUGUCCAAAUGUUGAGAAACUUUUCUUCAACUCCAAAUAAUAUCCUUUUUAAACCAUUUAUUUAUUGAAACGUUUAAAACAACUUCACCCCACACUUGCAUGAAUAUGGUUCGCAAAAUGCAUUGUUUUGCUUCUGUGUAUAUACAUGAUAAAUUGAUUUCUCAAGCUGCACGAUCGUGAACAACUCAACAAAGACAUGCACUAUGUUGAUUCAAACAGCAUGGUCAUGCAUAUAAAUCGACAUCAACAUACUAUAUUCAAAGAGUUAAAAGAAAUUGAAAUCCAUUACAUUUAUUGAUCUUUACAUGAAAUUGAAAUCCAUGGAAGAUACUCAUUCAAACCACCCUUUUACACUAUAGAUUCUACCACAUCACACAAAUUCUUAUUCUAUCACACAACCCAGCUAAAUCCUUUCCAUUCCUCUCAACACAAAACACACAAAUGGAUGAUUUACUUGCAUUCCAUAUUUUUCAAUAACACAUUUUUUUCAAUGUAAAUCCCAAUAAAUUUUAUUACACGGGAAAGAUGAAGAUGGAAUUAGGGAUGAAUAUGGAUUUGAGGUAGAUGCAGAUGAACCCUAAUUGCACCAACUUAUAUUAGUGGCAUUUUGUUUCUAUUUUUUUAAUUUGUAAUUUUUAAGCUCGCAUUCACGUCUGUAUUUCAUUGGCCAAGUGUCCCUUUCAAACGACCAACUCACGAAAGGGACGAACUUACCUCAAUAUUGUUAAUGUUUUGGACCAACUUAAAAUAUUUAAAACAUAAGUCAGGAAAAAUUUAAAACACAAACGACCAAAAUAAAAUCUAAAAUAAACAUAAGAGACCAAAAAUACAAUAUUUUACUAUAUUAUCUAAAAUUUCAUUUUAACAUUUACAUUCUAUAUCUUUAAAUAAAAUAUGAGGAGACGACGCAGCAAGUGAGGAAAAAUUCAACACAUCUCUAUUUCCAUGUAUUUUUAGAACUUGGUAUCGACUUACUUAACGCGUGAUGGAGCUAUAUGAGAUGAGCAAAAAAGACUUGCUCUAUGUUUUCAUUGAUUUAAAGAAUGCGUAUGAUAUAUUGUAUGGAAAGCCCUAGAGAAGAAAGGAGUAAGGAUUACUUAUAUUUGAGCUAUCAAGGACAUCUACUAGGAGGCUUCAACUAGUGUGAGGACGCACGAUGAGGUCACCAACGAUUUUCCCGUAACAAUAUGAUUGCAUCAAGGAUCAACCUUAGUCCAUAUCUUUUUACCUUAGUUUUGGAUGUACUUAUAGAACACGAGCUAGGAUCGAGAUGUAUGUUUUUUGAAAAUGAUGCAGUUCUACUUGGAGCAUUGAAGGAGGUUGGAGAUAAGCUUUAAAAACACACAACUUCUGUUUUAGAGGUAAAAAUUGGAGAUUAUAUCAUUUCACAAAUUACACAAUUUAAAUAUCAUGGGUCCAUAAUAUAAAACGAUGGAGAAAUAGAAGCAAAUAUAAUUCAUCAAAUUCAAUAUGGGUGCUUGAAAUUAAUGAGUUGAACCGAAAUAUGGUUUAUGAUUAAACAUGGUAACAUAAGCCGACCCCAUUUAAUACGAAAAUGUUUGAUUCGGUAUCUAGUCCAUGAACCGACAUAUCGGGGUUCAAUCUCAUCGAUCAUUUGCCGGACCCAUUUAAAGUUAAAAGAAGAACAUGAGAAGAGGGAGUAUAAUUUUGCUCGAAGCUACACAGUGUGUAUAUGGAAGGAAAGAGCAAUAAUAUUUGGGAGAACACUUGCAAAGCAAUAAUUUUUCUCCUAUAUGCAUGCAAAGGUUCGUACAUGGGUUGAUGUGAGUUUUUGACCUCGACAUAGGCACAUAGCAGUGUAGGUUCAAUCAAACUAAGAUAGCGCCUAAGAUAAUGGUGAUUUAUGAAGCAGCCCAAAUGGCAUUACAUAUAGUAAGAGAUGAUGAAACAAUCCUUCUUUGUGACAUUUACAUGUUUUUUUUUUUUAAAUGAAUUUAGUGUGUUUUGAUAUCAAAGUCUUUUUUUUUCUAAGAUUUUUCUAUAACUUUAAAUUUCUGUACUUGUGAAAUUUAGGUUUUCUCGUAUCUGGAUCAGACCAAUCUCUGCAGAGCUGCUAGAGUUUCUAAGCAGUGGCGAACCGUUAGUACUCAUGAAGAUUUCUGGAUGAAUUUGAAUUUUGAAAAUCGGAACAUAUCUGAAGAACAAUGUGAGCUUGAGUAUAUGUUGUAUUCUUUAUAAAAGUUUUUAGUUUUAUAAAUGUGCUUAUUUAAAGUUUUAUGUAUAAUCACAGUUGUGAGCAUGUGUAGGCGUUAUCCGAAUGCUACAUCAUUGAGCAUAUCAGGACCUACUAUUGAUUUGCUGGUCAUGAAGGCAAUGUCUUUGCUAAGGUAGGUAUUUUGUGUGACAUUGCACUGAAUCAAGUCAUGUUGGAUUCUGGCUGAUUUGUUUCAUUAUUUUCAGGAAGCUCGAGGUUUUAACAUUAGGAAGAGGACAAAUAGGGGAUGCUUUUUUUGUUGUUCUACCUGAUUGUUCCAUGUUGAGAGAAUUGUAUAUCGAUGAUUCUACACUUGGAAAUAGUAUUCCGGAGAUAUCUGUUGUUCAUGAGAGAUUGUGUCAUCUUGAAUUAAUAAAAUGUCGUGGGACGCGAAUACAAGUCAGGUGAAUAUGCCUCAAAGUUUGACUGACACCUCCGAUGAUAAAAUAAAAAGUGAUGGUUUAUUCAUUUUUCAGGUGCCCACAACUUAAAACUAUGUCUUUGAAGAGCAGUAACAUGGCACAGGUUGUACUUGAUUGCCCUCUUCUACAUGAACUUGAUAUUGGUUCUUGCAACAAACUUCCUGAUGCUGUUAUUCGUGCUGUUGCAACUUCAUGCCCUCAACUGGUGAAGCUGGACAUGCGUAACUGUUCUUGUGUCAGCGAUGAAACCCUGCGUGAAAUAGCGCAGCAUUGUCCUAAUCUUGGUUUUCUUGAUUCAUCAUACUGCCCAAGCAUAUCUUUGGAGGUGUGCUUCAAAUUGUAUACUCGCUUUUUUGCAUAUGUAAGCUUGUAUUUUGAACUAAAGUAUAUGGCUUUUCUCUUUUAAGUCGGUUCGGAUGACAAUGUUGACAAUUCUAAGGCUUCAUAGCUGCGAGGGCAUCACUUCUGCAUCAAUGGCUGCUAUAGCUCAUAGCUCUAUGUUGGAGGUAUUUUAUCUGUCCCAGAUAUUGAUAUUAAUGACAUGUCUGAAUUCAUGAGUAUUACGAUUAAUACAUUUAACCACCCCGCCAAUGCAGGUUUUGUAACUCCGCAGUUGCAGUCUAUUGACUUGAGCGUCGUUGGAUCUUCCACAUUUGAAGAAUAUUAGAUUGGCGUACUGUCGCAAGUAUGUUUCUGCUUCAUUUUCUCUCUCCCCAGAAAAGCACUAUAAUUCUAUUAUUGAUCCGUCUCUCUCUAUUGCUUUUCACUUUCUGUUUAAGUCAAUACCAAAUCCUUUUUUCUAUUGUUGCGCCUAAUUUAUUUUUUUGAAUGGUUUCCUUUGCAGAUUAGCAGAUUUGAACUUGAGGGCUAUAUCGCUUUCUUCUAUACAAGUGUCUGACUGCUCUGUACUUCACCGGAUCAAUAUCACUUCAAAUUCACUUCAAGUAUGUGUUAUACACUUAUACUUAUGUCUUGUUUCAUUCCCCAUUCUCAUAUAUUCUAGAGUAUAUGCAGACAUUAGCACUGCAAAAGCAGGAUAGCUUAACUUCAUUAGCAUUGCAAUGCCAAUCUUUCCAAGAAGUGGAUCUCUCUGAGUGUGAAUCUUUGACAAAUUCUAUAUGUGAUGUUUUUGGUGAUGGUGGAGGAUGUCCUAUGUUGAAAUCACUAGUUCUGGAUUAUUGUGAGGUACAUGAACAAAUAUUUCUUUUGAAUUUCUGGAUUUAUUUUCCAAAAUUUGAUUAUUCAUGAGCUAUGUUAGUAUAGUAGUAUAUUCUGACAAUUCAAAUAAGUGUUUUCCUACUCUUGAUCCCUUUUACACAAUUCUAAUUGUUUUUUAUAUAAUCAACUAAUCCAGCUGUACCAUAACUUAUUGAUUGAAGUUUUGCUUGUGAUUUUUAUAAUACUGAUGUACUUUUUUUGUAUGUCAUAUUGAUGAAGUUUAUGAAAGGGUAUUCUUGGUAUUCUCACAAAAUCAGUUUAAAGAACUACUGAAAUUUGUGACUUUAGUUGAAAUAAUUGCAUGAAUCAUUAUUAGUUGUUACUAUCAGUGUUUAGCGGUAGAUGAUCCUUGGGAUAAUGUCUCAACUUUUCUGGCUGUUGUAUCUGUGAGAGAUUAGGUUUCUUUUCAUUCCUGGGAUUUUGUUGGUCAAAUGAUCUAUACUUGUAUGGAUGUUAACAUUCUUUAGCCUGCUUGUUGUUCGCUGCAUGUAGAGCCUGACUUCAGUUCGCUUCAUCAGCACCUCGAUAAUCAGUCUUUCUCUAGGCGGUUGUCGAGCAAUCACUACUCUUGAGCUAACCUGCCCUAAUCUUGAGAAGGUCAUUUUGGACAGCUGUGAUCAUUUGGAAUAUGCAUCAUUUUGCCCUGUAAGUGACAUUGAUUUAUUAUACAAUUUAUACUUGAUUUUUGUGAGAUGAGUUUUUUUAUUUCUUGCCUUUUUUGUGCACUUCGAUUUUUAUCAGCUGUAAUUUUUUAUUUCUUCUUUCCUUUUGAGUUGAUCAUGUGUUGAACUAUGUGAAAUAAGAACUACAGAAUAAUAGUAUAACAUCUUUUGCUUGUAUUUAUUUAGCUAUCUGCAUGGUUUAAGUAAUAGUUUUAUACAUUUGCAGUCCAAGAGGUUGCUGUUAUGUUAAGGCUUUGUAAUUGGGACCACAGUUAUUAUCAGUGUAUUAAGAUACCUUGAAGUCAUAUCUUGAUUUUGAAUAAAUCAUGAAUCGUAGUAAAUAUUUGGAUAAUAUUCGGAAAAUAGGUCUUCCGAUUCAUGAUUUGAAUCUCGAUCUGAAAGCUAAGCAACUCCCUUUUUUCAUCUACUUCUCAGCUUGCUCUUCGAUCUCUCAAUUUAGGAAUAUGCCCAAAAUUAAACAUACUCCGCAUUGAAGCAACGUUAAUGGUCUCCAUUGAGUUGAAAGGAUGUGACGGACUGUCUGAAGCAUCCCUUAAUUGUCCUCUCUUGACAUCUCUGGAUGCUUCCUUUUGCAGGUGAUGCUUUAUUUGCUAGUUUCUUGGCUAUCCUGCUUGCGUAUGGAGUAUGGACUGAUGUUUGUUGUUUUGAAUUAUAGUCAACUCAAUGAUGACUGCUUGUCUGCAACAACCCGUGCCUGUCGACUAAUUGAGUCAUUAAUAUUAAUGUCAUGCCCAUCGAUUGGGUUAGAUGGACCCUGCUCCUUGUAUUGGCUCCCAAAUUUAACCCUGCUUGAUUUAUCAUACACUUUCUUGGUGACUCUGCAGCCUGUUUUUGACUCUUGUAAACAACUAAAGGUAAAAAACAUUAUAUUUUAGUUUACAUAUUUUUUACUGUCUUGCAAAUUACAAAUAGUAUAAUAGUAGUGAAGAACCGCUCCUCCCAUCCUCAAAACAAAUCUCCAGAAGUGGUGGUUAUUUAGUUUGAUAAACCUAGCGAAGUUGUGAUGUUAUACUACCAUACACACAGAAGUUGUUCAGAAGAGCUUAUUUGUGUCUAUCUCGUGUUUAAAUACUUAUAUUAUUAAUGUUUUUGGAUUUAAAAAAAAAAACAUUUAUUUCAUUUUUCAUCGUUUCCUGCUUCUGCAACAAUGAAGACGCAGAAAUUGGCUGGAAAAUGGAGAUAGAAGGGGACUGAAAAGAGAGAGGAAAAAGUGGGCAAAACUCCUAACAUUAUUUUGUUUAAUGAGUUACUCAUUCCUUGGUCCACAGGUUAUGGAAUGAUGUAUAACAUUUGUAUAAUUAUUUUCUUUGCCUUUUUCUGACGGUGACAUUCUUGUUUCUUGAAGGUUUUAAAGUUGCAGGCAUGCAAAUAUCUCAUCGACUCAUCGCUUGAACCUCUUUACAAGGGGGGUGUUUUACCAACUCUUCAGGAGUUGGACUUGUCUUAUGGAACUUUGUGUCAGCAAGCCAUAGAAGAGCUUCUUUCUUGCUGCAGUCACCUUGCACAUGUGAAUUUGAAUGGCUGUGUGAACAUGCAUGAUUUAAACUGGGGGCAAAGUCGAGGAACUUUUCCUGAGUUACCUGGCAUAAGCAUCCUAUCCAUCGCAAGUUCCUACGAAAACAACCAUGUGUCAAGUGAGUGACCCACCCGAUUACUUCAGAACCUCAACUGCGUGGGUUGUCAAAAUAUUAGGAAGGUUUUCAUUCCAUCAACAGCACACUGUUCCCAUUUAUUGUUUUUAAACCUUUCUCGGUCAUCUAAUUUGAAGGAGGUUGAUGU